rnacentral:rRNA from 1 species
GGAGUUAGCCGGUGCUUCUUCUGUGAGUGAUGUCCUUCCUGCCGGCUAUUAACCCGCAGGCCUUCUUCCUCACUGAAAGUGCUUUACAACCCGAAGGCCUUCUUCACACACGCGGCAUGGCUGGAUCAGGGUUGCCCCCAUUGUCCAAUAUUCCCCACUGCUGACUCCCGUAGGAGUCUGGGCCGUGUCUCAGUCCCAGUGUGGCUGAUCAUCCUCUCAGACCAGCUACGGAUCGUCGCCUUGGUGAGCCGUUACCUCACCAACCAGCUAAUCCGACAUAGGCUCAUCCGAUAGCGCGAGGCCCGAAGGUCCCCCGCUUUCCCCCGUAGGGCGUAUGCGGUAUUAGCCUGGGUUUCCCCAGGUUAUCCCCCACUACCGGGCAGAUUCCUAUGCAUUACUCACCCGUCCGCCGCUCGCCACCAGGGAGCAAGCUCCCCGUGCUGCCGCUCGACUUGCAUGUGUUAGGCCUGCCGCCAGCGUUCAAUCUGAGCCAGGAUCAAACUCUGA